UUACCGGGUUUGACAUCCCGCGAACCCUUUGGAACAGGGUGCCUUCGGGAGCGCGGAGACAGGUGGUGCAUGGUUGUCGUCAGCUCGUGUCGUGAGAUGUUCGGGUUAAGUCCCGCAACGAGCGCAACCCCUACGUUUAGUUGCUAACGCGUGAAGGCGAGCACUCUAGACGAACUGCCGUUGACAAAACGGAGGAAGUGGGAUGACGUCAAAUCAUCAUGCCCCUUAUGUUCUGGGCUACACACGUGCUACAAUGGCCGGUACAGACGGACGCAAAGCCGCGAGGCGGAGCAAAUCCGAAAAAGCCGGUCUCAGUUCGGAUUGCAGGCUGCAAUUCGCCUGCAUGAAGUCGGAAUCGCUAGUAAUCGCAGGUCAGCAUACUGCGGUGAAUACGUUCCCGGGCCUU
rnacentral:rRNA from 1 species